UUUUGCUUCGGGAUUUUGCAGCUGAGAUCCCGCAUUCCCCUUCGAGCACGCAGAGUUGAAACUGGAGUCACCUUCACGCUAGGUGAAGCAGCAGUGACAGGCAGUGGUGAGUUUGACUGAUGGCUGCAAUAUGAUUCCACCUUUUUCACAUUCUUGACUAUUAGAGUGCUGUAUCUCAAACCAAAAAAAUCUUCUAACCAGUAACUGUCCCAAACAUGGUUAUGUGCAUCACCACUCAAACGAAGUAUUGUGAAAUCAGAGAUGAACCCAUUGGAUCUGUGCCUCAGUGAGCAGCAGAAUGCUUUAAGAAGCCACAGAAGCAUACAAGAAUAAAUAGAUACGAAAAGAUUACUCAAAUGCUCUGCAAAAUUCAGGCCAACAAUUUUCUCAUUCAUAUCCAAAAUUGAUUACAGUAUGACUUGAUAGUCAGUACAUCAAGGACUUGCUUAGCUGAAAGCUUCACCCACACAUACACACAAGAGUUCACUAACCAAUGUUACUCUUCGGAAACUGCUACUUUAACUCACUAAGAUGCCAAUGCCUAAGAAUCAAUUCAGCCAAGAUUAAUUUUACAGGAGAGUCAGCAUAGUCUCCAAAUGCUAGGCAGCUCACAUGAUCACGUGUGUAUCGACAAGUUCAAUUCUACUCCUUUUUCCUGCUACAAGCCGGGUAGCAAACAGGCAUUUUGGAUUUUGCGGCGAGUGCGUUUUACGCUGUCUCGUGCCGGAAUUGCAGUACAUGAGUUUCCAAUUUUUUUGGCUCAUCUGCUUCACUUUGAUUUAUU
rnacentral:lncRNA from 1 species